rnacentral:tRNA from 1 species
GCCCGUGUAGUAUAGUGGAUCAGAAUAGGAGGUUGCGGACCUUCAGACCCGGGUUCGAUUCCCGGCACGGGCG